rnacentral:rRNA from 1 species
UACGUAGGGUCCGAGCGUUGUCCGGAAUUAUUGGGCGUAAAGGGCUCGUAGGCGGUUUGUCACGUCGGGAGUGAAAACUCAGGGCUCAACCCUGAGCGUGCUUCCGAUACGGGCAGACUAGAGGUAUGCAGGGGAGAACGGAAUUCCUGGUGUAGCGGUGGAAUGCGCAGAUAUCAGGAGGAACACCAAUGGCGAAGGCAGAUCUCUGGGCCGUAACUGACGCUGAGGAGCGAAAGCAUGGGGAGCGAACAGG